GGCUCAGAAUGAACGCUAGCGGCAGGCCUAACACAUGCAAGUCGAACGGUAACAGGGAUUGCUUGCAAUCCGCUGACGAGUGGCGCACGGGUGCGUAACGCGUAUGCAACCUACCUUUUACAGGGGGAUAGCCCAGAGAAAUUUGGAUUAAUACCCCAUAACAUUGCGACAACACAUGUUGAUGCAAUUAAAACUUCGGUGGUAAAAGAUGGGCAUGCGUUCUAUUAGCUAGUUGGUAAGGUAACGGCUUACCAAGGUUACGAUAGAUAGGGGUUCUGAGAGGAUGAUCCCCCACACUGGUACUGAGACACGGACCAGACUCCUACGGGAGGCAGCAGUGAGGAAUAUUGGUCAAUGGGCGAGAGCCUGAACCAGCCAUGCCGCGUGUAGGAAGACUGCCCUAUGGGUUGUAAACUACUUUUGUAUAGGAAUAAACCUUGGUACGUGUACCGAGCUGAAUGUACUAUACGAAUAAGGACCGGCUAACUCCGUGCCAGCAGCCGCGGUAAUACGGAGGGUCCAAGCGUUAUCCGGAAUUAUUGGGUUUAAAGGGUCCGUAGGCGGGAUAAUAAGUCAGUGGUGAAAUCCUAUAGCUUAACUAUAGAACUGCCAUUGAUACUGUUGUCCUUGAGUUUGCGUGGAGUAGGCGGAAUGUGACAUGUAGCGGUGAAAUGCAUAUAUAUGUCACAGAACACCGAUUGCGAAGGCAGCUUACUAAAGCAACACUGACGCUGAUGGACGAAAGCGUGGGGAGCGAACAGGAUUAGAUACCCUGGUAGUCCACGCAGUAAACGAUGAUUACUAGAUAUUUGCGAUAUACGGUAAGUGUCAUAGCGAAAGCGUUAAGUAAUCCACCUGGGGAGUACGGUCGCAAGAUUGAAACUCAAAGGAAUUGACGGGGGCCCGCACAAGCGGUGGAGCAUGUGGUUUAAUUCGAUGAUACGCGAGGAACCUUACCAGGGCUUAAAUGCAGAGUGACGGAUUGUGAAAGCAGUCUUUCUUCGGACACUUUGCAAGGUGCUGCAUGGUUGUCGUCAGCUCGUGCCGUGAGGUGUUGGGUUAAGUCCCGCAACGAGCGCAACCCCUAUUUCUAGUUGCCAGCAUUUCGGAUGGGGACUCUAGAGAAACUGCCAGCGCAAGCUGUGAGGAAGGUGGGGAUGACGUCAAAUCAUCACGGCCCUUACGUCCUGGGCCACACACGUGCUACAAUGGCAGGUACAGAGGGCAGCUACAUAGCGAUAUGAUGCGAAUCUCAAAAGCCUGUCUCAGUUCGGAUCGUAGUCUGCAACUCGACUACGUGAAGCUGGAAUCGCUAGUAAUCGCGUAUCAGCCAUGACGCGGUGAAUACGUUCCCGGGCCUUGUACACACCGCCCGUCAAGCCAUGGAAGCUGGGGGUGCCUGAAGUCGGUAACCGCAAGGAGCUGCCUAGGGCAAAACUAGUAACUGGGGCUA
rnacentral:rRNA from 1 species